rnacentral:rRNA from 1 species
GUAGGGGAGCGUUGUAUGCGGGUAGAAGCCGGAUCGUGAGGACUGGUGGACUGCAUACAAGUGAGAAUGCCGGUAUGAGUAACGAAAAGAUCAGUGAGAAUCUGAUCCGCCGUAAGCCUAAGGGUUCCUGAGGAAGGUUCGUCCGCUCAGGGUAAGUCGGGACCUAAGGCGAGGCCGAAAGGCGUAGUCGAAGGACAACAGGUUGAAAUUCCUGUACCACCGUGAACCGUUAUGAGCAAUGGGGUGACGCAGAAGGAUAGUGACGCGAGCUGAUGGAUGCUCGUCCAAGCAGUGAGGCUGGUAUGCAGGCAAAUCCGCAUACCGUAAGGCUGGGCUGUGAUGGGGAGGGAAAAUUACAGUACCGAAGGUCAUGAGUUCAAGCUGCCAAGAAAAGCCUCUAGCCAGGGAGAAGGUGCCCGUACCGCAAACCGACACAGGUAGGCGAGCAGAGCAUGCUAAGGCGCGCGGAAGAACUCUCGUUAAGGAACUCGGCAAAAUGACCCCGUAACUUCGGGAGAAGGGGUGCCUCGGUAGGGUGAAUAGCCCGAGGGGGCCGCAGUGAAAAGGCCCAAGCGACUGUUUAGCAAAAACACAGGUCUGUGCGAAGCCGCAAGGCGAAGUAUACGGGCUGACGCCUGCCCGGUGCUGGAAGGUUAAGGGGAGCGGUUAGGGGAAACCCGAAGCUGUGAACCGAAGCCCCAGUAAACGGCGGCCGUAACUAUAACGGUCCUAAGGUAGCGAAAUUCCUUGUCAGGUAAAUUCUGACCCGCACGAAUGGCGUAACGACUUGGGCGCUGUCUCAACGAGAGAUCCGGUGAAAUUUUAAUACCUGUGAAGAUGCAGGUUACCCGCGACAAGACGGAAAGACCCCAUGGAGCUUUACUGCAGCUUGAUAUUGGACUUUGGUACGAUCUGUACAGGAUAGGUGGGAGCCUAAGAAGCAUGAGCGCCAGCUUGUGUGGAGGCGACGUUGGGAUACCACCCUGAUCGUAUCGGAGUUCUAACUUGGUACCGUAAUCCGGUACGAGGACAGUGUCAGGUGGGCAGUUUGACUGGGGCGGUCGCCUCCUAAAGCGUAACGGAGGCGCCCCAAGGUUCCCUCAGAAUGGUUGGAAAUCAUUCGAAGAGUGCAAAGGCAUAAGGGAGCUUGACUGCGAGACAAACAGGUCGAGCAGGGACGAAAGUCGGGCUUAGUGAUCCGGUGGUACCGAAUGGAAGGGCCAUCGCUCAACGGAUAAAAGCUACCCUGGGGAUAACAGGCUUAUCUCCCCCAAGAGUCCACAUCGACGGGGAGGUUUGGCACCUCGAUGUCGGCUCAUCGCAUCCUGGGGCUGAAGUAGGUCCCAAGGGUUGGGCUGUUCGCCCAUUAAAGCGGUACGCGAGCUGGGUUCAGAACGUCGUGAGACAGUUCGGUCCCUAUCUGUCGCGGGCGUAGGAAAUUUGAGAGGAGCUGUCCUUAGUACGAGAGGACCGGGAUGGACGUACCGCUGGUGUACCAGUUGUUCCGCCAGGAGCACGGCUGGAUAGCCAAGUACGGAAGGGAUAAGCGCUGAAAGCAUCUAAGCGUGAAGCCCCCCUCAAGAUGAGAUUUCCCAGUAUGUAAGACCCCUUGUAGACGACGAGGUUGAUAGGUUCGGGGUGGAAGCGCGGCAACGCGUGCAGCUGACGAAUACUAAUCGGUCGAGGGCUUAUCCAA